AUUUGAAUAGUUUAAUGAAAACAUCAGUUUGUGGGACUGGAGAUAUAAAUUUUAUUUCAGAUA
rnacentral:tRNA from 1 species